CAAUUGCACUGUAUCAAUGAACAGUUUUUAGGUCCGAAUUUUACUUUAUUUACGAGGCUGCCACUGACUCUAUCUGCCACUGAUCUUCAUGCCGCGUGUUGAUGAUCGUGGAAAGGCAGGGGUGCGAUGGUCAUUUUGGUCUGUAUGGUUUCGAACGGGUUGGGUGGGUUGGAGACUUUCAUUUCCUUCUUUCUGUGAGCUGCAGUGGCACUCAGUGAGUGCAUGCCGUCGGGAGAGAGAGAGCGAGCGAGCAGAGAGAGACAGGGAGGGAGAGAGAUAGGGAUUUGGUGAGAGGAAGGCAUGCGGCUUGCAGGCAGACAGAGUCACAGGGGGUGUACGAUUCGAGGGAGAGAAAGGGGUUGGUUUCGAAAGUGUGAUUUUCGUCGGCAAGAAUUCUAGGUGAUUGAAGCCUUUUGUUGCUGGUUUCCCUUCGAUUCAAAAGCCCACAAACCAAGUAAUGACGGUUGAAAGCCUUAAACAUGGCGGGCGCGAAAUGGAGGUACAGUGACGAUUGACAACCGCCUCCGUUGUCGAUGAAUUUGGCCGUCAGAAAGCAUCUUACGAUUGGAGAUGUUACGGGUGGAGGCAAGCUAGAGCUGGUAUAGAUUACGAAUAUUAGUUUUGCAUAGCAUUGUAAUUUUGAUUGGUGAGAUCAUCCUAAUUUAGAAAAAGAACAGCCAUCUUUCAAUUCAAUAGUAGAGGACCUCAUUCAAAUAUGAGUUUGGCAUAGCACUAUUAAUAGUGUGUGUAGUUGCAGAAUUCCUAUUUUGAUUGGUAGCUUUGUCAUUUUUUGUUAA